UACGGGGGGUGCAAGCGUUGUUCGGAUUUACUGGGCGUAAAGGGUGCGUAGGCGGCGCGGUAAGUCGGGUGUGAAAUCUUGGAGCUUAACUCCGAAACUGCAUUCGAUACUGCAGUGCUUGAGGACUGGAGAGGAGACUGGAAUUUACGGUGUAGCGGUGAAAUGCGUAGAUAUCGUAAGGAAGACCAGUGGCGAAGGCGGGUCUCUGGACAGUUCCUGACGCUGAGGCGCGAAAGCGUGGGGAGCAAACAGG
rnacentral:rRNA from 1 species